GAUGAACGCUAGCUACAGGCUUAACACAUGCAAGUCGAGGGGAAACGACAUCGAAAGCUUGCUUUUGAUGGGCGUCGACCGGCGCACGGGUGAGUAACGCGUAUCCAACCUGCCCACCACUUGGGGAUAACCCUUGCGAAAGUAAGACUAAUACCCAAUGAUAUCCCACGAAGGCAUCCGAAUGGGAUUAAAGAUUUAUCGGUGAUGGAUGGGGAUGCGUCUGAUUAGCUUGUUGGCGGGGUAACGGCCCACCAAGGCUACGAUCAGUAGGGGUUCUGAGAGGAAGGUCCCCCACAUUGGAACUGAGACACGGUCCAAACUCCUACGGGAGGCAGCAGUGAGGAAUAUUGGUCAAUGGGCGAGAGCCUGAACCAGCCAAGUAGCGUGCAGGACGACGGCCCUAUGGGUUGUAAACUGCUUUUAUAAGGGAAUAAAGUGAGCUACGUGUAGCUUUUUGCAUGUACCUUAUGAAUAAGGACCGGCUAAUUCCGUG
rnacentral:rRNA from 1 species